rnacentral:misc_RNA from 1 species
GUGAAUCAUCGAAUCUUUGAACGCAAAUUGCACUCUCCGGUUUUCCGGGAGAGUAUGCUUGUUUGAGGUUCAGUCUAAUAAAGAUCGUCAUUGUUGCUGUUGUAUUUUGACUUGCGUCGGAGAUGUGUUAUCUUAAAUUUCGGUUUAAGCGACUUAAAAAUUUUUUUUACGAUUCUUAGAAUGUUUCUACGAGUUUUUUUGUACGUUUAAG